AUUGAACGCUGGCGGCAGGCCUAACACAUGCAAGUCGAACGAGUGGCGGACGGGUGAGUAAUGUAUGGGAAACUGCCUGAUGGAGGGGGAUAACUACUGGAAACGGUAGCUAAUACCGCAUACCAUCAGAUGUGCCCAGAUGGGAUUAGCUUGUUGGUGGGGUAACGGCGCACCAAGGCGACGAACCCUAGCUGGUUUGAGAGGAUGACACGCCACACGGUAACUGAUACACGGUCCAGACCCCGACGGGAGGCAGCAGUGGGGAAUAUUGGACAAUGGGCGCAAGCCUGAUGCAGCCAUGCCGCGUGUAUGAAGAAGGCCUUCGGGUUGUAAAGUACUUUCAGCUGGGAGGCGUUACCCACAGAAGAAGCACCGGCUAACUCCGUGCCAGCAGCCGCGGUAAUAC
rnacentral:rRNA from 1 species